UGGGUUCUUCAACUGCUCUCCUGCCGUGGAUGUCCCACCCAAUGCGUGCGAAUUGGAUACCAAAGACACUGAUGUCAAAGACAAUGGCGUAGCCAAGCCUCUUCAGAGUGGGUUGCUGGCAAAGCUCUGAAUAUCUUCCAAAUGGAUUCUAUGCUAGAAAGCAACUUGAUAAAGUAGCGUUUUCUCCUCCCGCCAUCCAAUCGCAGCAUUGGCAACUAGGCGAUGAGCCUGAUCAUUGUUAGUGGUUUUUGCACAUCAGGAUAUAUAUAUAUAUAUUUCUUUGGGUAUAAUUAUCAGGAUUUGCUUUGUGAAUUGAGGUUUGAUCUGGAACUUUUUAUCUGACUAUAUGUUGAUAUAUUGUGGAUUUGAGUGUGAUUUAGUUGAUUAAACGAAUAAAAG
rnacentral:misc_RNA from 1 species